UAACACAAAGCUCAGAGACAAAGAAUGAGGGUUGCAGAGAGUAGAGGAAAGUUCAAGGGUAGCUGCUCCUCUCUGCUAAUUCCUGUGAUUUCAUUUUUGCCAAAGAUGCCCUUCUGCAGUAAACUAUGUCCAAACGACCCCUCUACUCUAUCUCCAAAUCCUCACUCCCAAAAAGAGAAUCAAUAGUAAUAGUAAUAAUAAUAAUUGUAGCAAAAAUCUGAGGCUGUGAUGAUAUUUUUUUCUUCUGUCUCUGAGCAAAUUGAUUAAGGCAGGAGAAUAAUCGGACCCGUAUCUUGGCGGGGCGACCCGGAUGGUGACGACUUGCAACCGGUGUUUACAGCCAUGGCGGUGUCUCCAAUCUCUUGCCUUGUCUUCAGUAUUACAGAUAUGAGCCUCAAUUGGAAGGUUAUUUUCUUAAGUGCAAACUUACAGGUUCUUUUCUGUUAAAUUUUGAAAUUCACAGGUGAAAAUCCACGAGAAUUUCCCCUAAAAAUGCAAAAAGGUUAGGCCAGAAAGAAAUGAGGCAAAACAGAGAGUAUUGGGAUUUUCAUUCGAAGGGUGGUUGCCCCUCUCUGUUCCGCCAUUGAUUUUCCUCCAUUUUCAAAAAAACCCAACAGCCCUUGUUUACGACAAAAGCAGAAGUAGAGAGCAUUUGGACAUAAGAAUUGUAAAAUUCCGGAAAAAAGUAAAAAACAAUUCCAGUGAAAUCUGUAUUCACUUUUUUCUUGUGUGUGUGUUUAUGUUGCUGAUGGAUGUUACAUAAAGAGGCAGUGAUGAUGAUGUUUCUUGUAUCUGGGCUAACCGAUUUGGGCAUAGAGAUGACCCAACCCGUAUCUUGGCGUGGUAACCCUGUAUGGCCUGUGAUUGAGAUUUCUGUCUCCCAAAGAGCUGUAGGGAGUUUCAUUGGGUGGUUUUGCUGCUCUCUGUCAAUUCUCUGCCGCCAAUGAUCAAUCAAAUGUACGAUUGCAAAACCACCCGUUUGGUGAAAAUAUGUAUUACUCCCCCGUUUCAAUUUAUGCGACGCGAUGAGGCUAUGAAGAUUUUAUUCUUCUGUGGAAGAUCAAUCAGACAUAUAAAUCUAUUGAGCUGGGAAAAAAAUUGUAAUCUUGGCGUGGCAGCUCAGAUGGGUCUUUGAGAUAUUGGAGAAUUAUCCAUUUUUAUGUGUGUUUCUCCUCUUUCAUAAAACUAACUGAUGCUUGCAGCCAUGACGGUCUUUUUCCAAAGCUUUUUGGGGUUUUGUCUGAGAAAAGGCAAAUCUGAGCCUACCCCAUUGUCUGGAUGAAACAUGCCUGGAUGAUAAAUACUACUUCUAAGGUGGCUUAAAGAAAUGGGGUAAAACAGAUGGGAUUGUCUUUAAAGGGUUGUAAAUAAGUGUAUAUCAGAGGGCAAAGUAAGAAAUAUCGAUCCUCUAAAUAGUUCUCUUUUGACACAAAGCAGAAAACUAAAAGCUCAUACAAAGAAUGAGGGUUGCAGAGAGUAGGGGGAAGCUUAAGGGCAGCUGCUCCUCUCUACAAUACCUGUGAUUUCAUUUUUGCCAAAAAUGCCCUUCUGCAGUAAACUGUAUCCAAACGACCUUUCUACUGUAUCUCCAAAUCAUCACUCCCAAAAAGAGAAUCAAUAGUAGUAAUAAUAAUAAUAAUUGUAGCAAAAAUCUGAGGCUAUGAUGAUGAUUUUUUCUUCUGUCUCUGAGCAAAUUGAUUAGGGCAAGAGAACAAUCGGACCUGUAACUUGGCCGGGCAACCCGGACGGUGACGACUUGCAACCGGUGUUUGCAGCCAUGGCGGUGUCUCCAGCCUCUUGCCUUGUCUUCAAUAUUACAGAUCUGAGCCUCAAUUGGAAGGUUAUUUUCUUAAGUGCAAACUUACAGGUUCUUUUCCGUUAAAUUUUGAAAUUCACAGGUGAAAAUCCACGAGAAUUUCCCCUAAAAAUGUAAAAAGGUUAGCUCAGAAAGAAAUGAGGCAAAACAGAGAGUAUUGGGAUUUUCAUUUGAAGGGUGGUUGCCCCUCUCUGUUCCGCCAUUGAUUUUCCUGCAUUUUCAGAAAAAAAACCAACAGCCCUUGUUUAUGACAGAAGCAGGCAGCGUUUGGACAUAAGAAUUGUAAAAUUCCGGAAAAAGUAAAAAAAUUUCCGAGUGAAAUCUGUAUUGACAUUUUGUGUGUGUGCGCGCGUGCGCUUAUGUUGCUGAUGGAAGUUACAUAAAGAGGCAGUAUGAUGAUGUUUCUUGUAUCUGGGCUAACCGAUUUGGGCGUAGAGAUGACCCAACCCGUAUCUUGGCGUGGCAACCCGGUAUGGUAUGUGAUUGAGAUAUCUGUCUCACUUGCAACUGGUGUUUUGCAGCCAUGGCGUAGCUGACUUCUCUUUGCCUUAAUCAUAACACAUUCAUGAUAAGCCUACUAUAGCAUGGACCAAGUUGUAAAUAAACACACACCAGAAAGGCAAAACAAGAUUAUCGAUGCUUUAAAUGGUUCGCUUUGACACAAAGCAGAAAACUAAAAGCUCAGAGACAAAGAGUGAGGGUUGCAGAGAGUAGAGGGAAGCUCAAGGGCAGCUGCUCCUAUCUGCUAAUUCCUUUGAUUUUUUUUGCCAAAAAGUGCCCUUCUGCAGUAAACUGUUUCCAAAUGACCCCUCUACUUUAUCUCCAAAUCCUCACUCCCAAAAAAGAAUCAGACUGUACUAAUAAUAAUAAUUGUAGCAAAAAUCUGAGGCUAUGAUAAUAAUUUUUUCUUCUGUCUCUGAGCAAAUUGAUUAGGGCAGGAGACCAAUUGGACCCGUAACUUGGUGGGGCAACCCGGACGGUGACGACUUGCAACCGGUGUUUGCAGCCAUGGCGGUGUCUCUAAUCUCUGCCCUCAUCUUCAAUAUUACAGAUCUGAGCCUCAAUUGGAAGGUUAUUUUCUUAAACGCAGAUUUAUGGGCUCUUUUCCGUUAGAUUUUGAAAUUCGCAGGUGAAAUAUCGGCGAGAAUUUUCCCUAAAAAUGCAAAAAGGUUAGCCCAGAAAGAAAUGAGGCAAGACAGAGAUUAUUGGUAUUUUCAUUAGGAGGGUGGUUGCCCCUCUCUGUUCCGCCAUUGAUUUUCCUCCAUUUUCAAAAAAUAAAAAAACCCAACAGCCCUUGUUUACGACAAAAUCAGAAGCAGACAGGAUUUAAGUGGACGUUUGUACAUAAGAAUUAUGAAAUCCCGGAAAAAAGUAAUUUUUUUCCAGUGAAAUCUGUUUACUUUUUUUGUGUGUGUGUGUGUGUGUGUGUUCAUGUUGCUGAUGGAAGUUACAUAAAGAGGCAGUGAUGAUGAUGUUUCUUGUAUCUGGGCUAACCGAUUUUGGCAUAGAGAUGACCCGAGCCGUAUCUUGGCGUGGCAACCCGAUGUGGCCUGUGAUUGAGAUUUCUGUCACACUUGCAACUGCUGUUUUGCAGCCAUGGCGUAGCUGGCUUCUCUUUGCCUUAUCACAACAUAUAUGAGCCCCAUUUGCAAGUAAAGAAAAAAUAGAUAAUCUUUUCUAUGAUUUGGAUUAACAGGUAAAUAGGAAGGGGAGUCUUGGAGUAACCGUAAUGUUUUCCUCGUGUGACCUGUCAGUCACGAGUUCGAGCUGGUCACAGCUACUGAUGCUUGCAUUAGGGUAUCUGUCUACAUCACACCCCUUGAGAGUGUGGCCCUUCACUGGACCUUGCGCGAACGCGGUUGUCUUGUGCACCGUGCUGCCCUUGGAUUAACAGGUAAGUAGCAUAAACCUCAUUAGUUAGUAUGAGGCUGCUUUCAAGGCAGAGAGCUGUAGGGAGUUUCAUUGGGUGGUUUUGCCCCUCUCUGUAAUUGUUCGCCGCCAAUGAUCACUCAAAUGUCCGUUUUUAAAACCACCCUUUUGUUGAAAAUACGUAUUACUCCCUCCCUUUCAAUUUAUGUGACGCAAUGAGGCUAUGAAGAUUUUAUUUUUCUGUGGAAGAUGAAUCAGACUUAUAAAUCUAUUGAGCUGGGAAAAAAUUGUAAUCUUGGCGUGGCAGCUCAGAUGGGUCUUUGAGACAUUGGAGAAUUAUCCAUUUUUUUUUGUGUGUUUUCCUGUUUCAUAAGACUAACUGAUACUUGCAGCCAUGGCGGUCUUUUUCCUCAGCUUUUUGGGGUUUUGUCUGAGAGAAGGCGAAUCUGAGCCUACCCCAUUGUCUGCAUGAAACAUGCUGGGAUGAUAAGUACUAGUUCUAGGGUGGCUUAAAGAAAUGAGGCAAAACAUAUGGGAUUAUCUUUAAAGGGUUGUAAAUAAGCGUAUGUCAGAGGGCAAAGUAAGAAAUAUCGAUCUUUUAAAUAAUUCUCUUUUGACACAAAGCAGAAAACUAAAACCUCAUAGACAAAGAAUGAGGGUUGCAGAGAGUAGAGGGAAGCUUAAGGGCAGCUGCUCCUCUCUACAAUUCCUGUGAUUUCAUUUUGUCCAAAAAAUGCCCUUCUGCAGUAAACUAUGUCCAAACGACCACUCUACUCUAUCUCCAAAUCCUCUCUCCCAUAAAGAGAAUCAAUAGUAGUAGUAAUAAUAAUAACAAUUUUAGUAAAAAUCUGAGGCUGUGAUUAUGUCUUUUCUUCUGUCUCUGAGCAAAUCAAUUAGGGAAGUGAACAAUUGGACCCGUAUCUUGGCGGGGUAACCUGGAUCGUAAAUGAUUUUCCAACCGGUAUUUGCAGCCAUGGCGGUGUUUCCAAUCUCUUGCCCUAGCUUCAAUUUAACAGAUCUGAGCCUCAUUUGGAAGGUUAUUUUCUUAAAUGCUGACUUAAGAAAAGGUUAGCCCAGAAAGAAAUGAGGCAAAACAGAGAGUUUUGAGAUUUUCAUUAAAAGGGUGGUUGCUCCUCUCUGUUCCGCCAUUGAUUUUCCUCCAUUAUCAAAAAAACCAACAGCCCUUUGUUUAUGUCAAAAGCAGAAGCAGACUAGUAAAGUUGCUGCCAUAUGACCAGGAGGCCAUGGGUUCGAGUGGUAGAAACAUUCUCUUGCAUAAAUGCAGGGUAAGACUGCGUACAAUUGAUCCUUGUGGUCCGGUCCUUCCCCGGACCCGCGCAUAGCGGGAGAUUAGUGCAGCGGGCUGCCCUUUACAGUGAAAUCUCUAUAUUUACUUUUUUUUUUUUGUGUGUGUGUGUGUGUGGGGGGGGGGGGGUUGUUGUUGUUGACGGCAGGUACAUAAAGAGGUAGUGAUGAAUCAGGCAAAGAGAUGACCCGACCCGUAUCUUGGCAUGGCAACCCGGUAUGGCCUGCGGUUGAGAUUUCUGUCUCACAUAUACAACUGGUGUUUUGCAGCCAUGUCGUGGCUGGCUUCUCUUUUGCCUUAUCAUAACACACAUCCGAGCCCCAUGCACUGAAAAGAAAAAAAACUUUUCUGUGAUUUGGAUUUACAGGAAAAUAGCAAAAAACUCAUUAGUUUAAGUCAUAGGUUGCGGUGAAUGCAGAGAGCUGUAGGGAAUUUCAUUGGGUGGUUUUGCUGCUCUAAAUCAAUUCUCCGCCGCCAAUGAUCACUCAAAUGUGCAAUUGCAAAACCACCCGUUUGCUUUAAAUACGUACUACUCCCUUCGUUUCAAUUUAUGCAACGCGAUGAGGCUAUGAAGGUUUUAUUCUGUUGCGGAAGAUGAAUCAGAUAUAUAAAUCUUUUGAGCUUGGAAUUUUUUUUUAAUCUUGGCGUGGCAGCUCAGAUAGGUCUGUGAGAUAUUGGAGAAAAAUCCAUUUUUGUGUUUUUUUUUUUUCCUGUUUCAUAAUACUAACUGAUGUUUGCAGCCAUGGCGGUCUUUUUCCGAAGCUUUUUGGGUUUUUGUCUGAGCAAAGGCGAAUCUGAGCCUACCCCAUUAUCUGGAUUAAACGUGCUGGGAUGAUAAAUACUACUUCUAAGGUGGCUUAAAGAAAUGAGGCAAAACAGAUGGGAUUUUCUUUAAAGGGUGAUUGCCCCUCUCUGUUCUGCUGUUGAUUUUCCUCUAUUAAGAAAAUAACAACAGCUCUUGACAUGGAAAAAGAAGAAACAAGAACUGGAAGUGUAAUUAAACUAUACUGCUCUCCCCACACUACUACAUAUCUGUCUUUCCUCUGGUGUGAGUGUUGUUUUUUUUUUUUUUUUUGGGUGUUGAUGGAAGGUACAAAGAGAGGCUGUGAUGAUGAUGUUUCUAUAUCUGGGAUAACCAAUUUGGGCGUGGAGAUUAUCCAGCCCGUAUCUUGGCUUGGCAACCCAACAUGGCUUGUGACUGAGAUUUCUUUCUCUCACAUGCAAUUGGUGUUUGCAGCCAUGGCGUGGCUGGAUUCUCUUUAGCUUUAUCUUAACACGCAUCUGAGCCUUUUUCUUUAUUUGGUAUGAUAAUGACAUGGGUUGAGCUUAAAUGGAGGAACAUGGUUAGUGGCGAUUCAUAUAGCGGAUCCCAACUUCUGGGAAUCAAGCUCAGGUCUUUUGAGUGAGCCAAAUAUCCUAACUGACUAUACUACAACGGAAAUGUAACUACAAGAUAAUUACAGCAUUGAAGGAGGCUUAUAAUUCCUCUACACAUGGAAUUUUAAAGAGGCCCACCUCGUGGCAUGGCAACCCGAUUUCGUUGGUGCCUUAAAGUGUCAGAUGCAACUUGGGUUGCAGCCAUGGCUGUUCAGCUCAUUGGCUCUUGCCUGAGUACGUAUCCGAGCCUUAGCUUUCUUCAUAUUCUAGGUAGUGUUUUCCAUAGCUCUCAGGUGUGCAGUGGUAAAUUGAGCCUUUGAAACAUCCUACAAAUUCUGUUUAAGUUAAGGAGGAAAUGUAUUUGUACUCUUGAUAUCAAGUAUGCUUGAUAGUAUUGCUUAUCAGUCAAGGAUUAAACUUGCUUGGAGUUGACUUUAAUCACCAAAAGGUUAAUAAAAAAUCUGUGUAAGUUCACCGUGGGGCCACCAAAGUGGCUAACGGCAUCAUAUAAACAUCUUUGAGAUGUUUUUCUGACUGUAGGGGUAAUAUUAUUCUCCUUAAUUUUGACAGAUAUUCUAAAGAGGUGUGGGGCUACAUAGAGAUGAGAAGUUCUAAGGGUGCAAAUGAUGGUAACAAUACAAACUUAACAGCCCUUUUGAUUUUACAUGUCUGCUCUCCGAUAAAUUAUAAAUUGGGAUUAAAAAAUUAUAGAGCACUUGUUAGAACUAUUGUUUUACCUAUUCUUCUACUUCGUUAACUUUAGAUUUAUGCACAGGCUGUGAUGAUGAUAGUGUCUGUUAUGAACCCACAGGAGAUACUAGAGGGUACUAGACGCAGUGCACGUGCCAUACACCCUCCCAAAUAUUUGGAGAAUUUCGUGGUCCCCAAUCUAAAGAAAUGACAAGGUCUGUAAAAUCUGUUAGAGGUAGUGGAGGAUUCGCAAGUUACCAUCUGAUGCAACUUAUGCUUCUAUAAAUAUCCAGCAAGGCUAGAAUGAUAGGAUUAUGUAUGAAAUUGAGUAUUUUCUUUUUUGGCUAGUUUUGUCUGGAACCCUUCCCCAUUUCUUUACUGUUUCAUUGACAUUUUUCAGUGUAUUUUCCUAGUCCAGUUCUUAGAUCCUUCACGGUAAUUGUAUUUUGAGUUCAAUCAACACAAGUUCAUACCAAUUUGGUGCUCUCGUUGACCCUCUCCUUCCACUGACAAUGGGUGACGGACCUCCGACGACUCGCCUGAAAACUUUGGAUGACUCCAUGAAAUUGGUUCAUGACCAGCUUGCUACCCAUGCCCAAAAUUUUGAGAACAUUAAUGCUACCCUGCAGGUUCAACAGUCCCUGUUUCAAGAUAUCUCGACCCAACUUGCUCAGAUGCAAAACCAGCCUAAAAACCAAACCACCCCACAAAAUACCCUACAGUUAAACCNNNNNNNNNNNNNNNNNNNNNNNNNCCUUGCCGAGGGCCUGUGCACCCCCGGGAUUAGUCGGGGCUCAAAGAGACUUGGACACCCGGUGCAAAUCAAAAAAAAAACCCGCUGGGCUCUUUUCGCAGAGAUAAACCGGCCACCAUAGACCUGCCACAAUUUGAUGGUUCCGACGCUGUGAGUUGGAUUUUUCAAGCCAAUCGAUAUUUUGACUUUUACAACGUCUCUGCUGAAAAUCGUCUUAGUAUCUGUCCGUUCUAUUUGGAGGGUGACGCUAGAGAUUGGUAUCAAUGGAUGUACAACAAUCACCAACUCUUCAGUUGGGAACACUUUUCCAAGGCCCUUGUGAUUCGAUUCGGUUCUAAAUCGAUUGAAUCACCGGAGAGUUUAUUAGCUAAACUACAGAUGACUUCUUCAGUGACCGAGUAUCUCACUCGUUUUGAAAAGCUUGCUAAUCAGACGACCCAAGUUUAACCGGGGUUGUUGUUACACUUGUUUACAUCCGGCCUGCGACAAGAUAUCAAAACUGACGUGCUAUCGUUUAGGCCAAUGGACUUUCAUGAUGCUAUUGGGCUGGCCUUUCUACAAGAACAAAAGAUAUUUGGCUCUGUUAAUUCAAUAACUUCGACCCGGCCCAAUCAGACUGGUAAGUCUAUCUUUUACCCUUCAACGCAGUUGUCUUCGUCACUUCCAAAGACUUCUGCACCAGUUUCUUCAAUUCCCUCUCCAUCAGUUACGCCCUCAGCCGCCCUUCCUGGUGUGGGUCGCGUACCUUUUAAGAAGCUAACCCCAGCUGAGCUGCAGCGUAAAAGAGAUCUCAAUCUCUGCUUUAAUUGUGAUGCUAAAUGGCACAGAAACCACAAAUGUUCUUCUACACCACAACUUUUACUGCUUUUGGCUGAUGAUGACUCCACGAUUGAGGACCUUCCUUCAGAGUCCUUUGAUACACCCUCUAAUACACCAUCAGUGGUGGUGCCUCCCCAAGCUCCACCCGAUGAUACCACAGUUCCCACUAUUAACUAUCUAGCUUUGUCAGGAGGCUCGACUCCGGCUUCACUACGCUUUACUGGCCAAAUCAAAGGGUUUGAUGGUCAGGUGUUUAUCGACGGAGGUAGCACUCAUAAUUUCAUUCACCCUCGUAUUGCUAAAUUUCUAAAAUUGCCAGUUGAAAGUUCCUCCAAAUUCUCUGUUAUGGUCGGCAAUGGCAACCUCCUACCAUGUCAAGGUGUGGUUCGUCAGUUGUCCGUCAGUGUUCAAGGGUUUUCAUUUGCCACAGAUUUCUUUGUUAUAGAUUUCCAUGGGUCGGAUCUAGUUUUGGGUAUUAUUUGGUUAGCUACUUUGGGUCCAACAAUAACAGACUAUGCCAAACGCACAUUUCAAUUUGAGGCCGAAAAUCGAGUAAUUUGUUGGACAGGUUCUGACCCACCUUUGGAGCAAGUCCAGUUAUCUUCACUACGCCGUCUUUCUGAAACCGAAUCCAUUGCCUGCCUCUUUCACCUUGAACUCCUUCCCAUAACACCACCUCCUGUAUCAGAUCAUCCAUCAGAUCUUUCUACUCUUCUUGACUCUUUUUCUGAUGUUUUUGCUAAAGCCUCGGCUCUCCCACCUACACGUCCACAAGAUCACCGUAUUCCUUUAAUUCCUGGCUCCACCCCUAUUAACGUUCGACCAUACCAUUACCCUCAUUUCCAAAAGGCUGAAAUUGAGAAAUUGGUUUCUGAAAUGCUGCAAUCGGGCAUUAUCCGCCCUAGCUCAAGCCCAUACUCUUCCCCUGUUCUUUUGGUUCGGAAGAAGGAUGGUACAUGGCACUUUUGUGUUGAUUACCGGGCUUUGAACUCUAUUAUUAUCAAAGAUCGCUUUCCAAUUCCUACAAUUGAUGAACUCUUUGAUGAGUUACUGGGUGCUCGCUUCUUUUCUAAGUUGGAUUUGUUGGCAGGAUAUCACCAAAUUCGUGUACACCCUGCUGAUAUCGAGAAAACUGCUUUUCGGACACACGAAGGUCACUAUGAGUUCAUCGUCAUGCCGCUCGGCCUAUCCAAUGCCCCCUCUACUUUUCAGGCCACCAUGAACUCUAUUUUUAAGCCCUUCCUUCGUCGUUUUGUCCUAGUUUUCUUCGAUGAUAUUUUGGUCUACAGUCACUCUUGGCUAGACCACCUUGAUCAUUUGUCCCAAGUUUUUGACCUUCUUCGCCAGAACUCACUGGUUGUCAAACGUUCAAAAUGCCAAUUUGGACAAACUUCCAUUGACUACCUCGGCCAUAUAAUUUCUUCCAAGGGCUUACAGGUUGAUCCUGCAAAAAUUCAGGCCAUUGAAUCCUGGCCUCCUCCUUCUUCGUCAAAGAUGUACGGGGUUUCUUGGGGCUCACAGGCUAUUAUCGCCGCUUUGUCAAAAGCUAUGCUCAACUGGCUUCCCCAUUAACUGAUCUUUUAAAGAAGGAUGCUUUCAAAUGGUCCGACUUGGAAUCUAAAUCUUUCUUGCAAUUGAAGCAUGCUUUAAGCACAGUCCCUGUUCUUUGCCUUCCCAACUUUACCAAAGCUUUCUCUGUGGAAACUGAUGCAUCCGGUUGUGGAAUUGGUGCUGUUCUCUCACAAGAUGGCCAUCCUAUAGCAUUCUUUAGCCAAAAACUUUCUCCAAGGAUGCAAGUUGUCUCGACAUACCAUCGUGAAAUGUUUGCCAUCACUCAGGCAGUCCAGAAAUGGCGGCAAUAUUUGUUGGGUCGUAAGUUUUUAAUCAUCACUGAUCAGCAGCCUCUUCGAGCUCUUACCAAUCAGGUUAUUCAAACCCCCGAGCAGCAACGUUGGCUAAGCAAGCUUAUAGGCUAUGAUUUUGACAUAAUAUAUCGUCCUGGAAAACUUAAUUCUGCUGCAGAUGCUCUCUCACGUGUGCCUGAUUUACAAUCUCUCACGAUGGCUGUUACUGAGUUUGCACUGAUUGAGAAAUUGAGGCAAUUGAAUACUUCUGAUCCUGAUCUACUUCGUCUCCAGCAACAGCUUAUUGAAGAUUCCAGUUCCCUUCCCAAUUUUACAUUUCAGGAGGGUCUUUUACUAUAUCGAAAUAGGCUUGUGAUUCCAAAAGAUGAUGCGCUGCGUCAGUCACUUUUACAUGAGUUCCAUGCUUCCAAAAUAGGGGGUCAUGCAGGCAUUUCCCGAACAUUUCACAGGCUCUCCUCUAACUUCUUUUGGUCGGGUAUGAGUUCAGAUGUCAAGACCUUCGUCCAAGCAUGCCAAAUUUGUCAGCAGAUGAAAGAUUCAGCCUUAAAACCUGCUGGUCUUCUCCAGCCAAUUCCACUUCCUUCUGCAAUUUUUGAAGAAAUCUCAAUGGAUUUCAUCACUGGUUUACCCUCGUCUAGUGGACGGACUGCCAUCCUAGUAAUUGUGGACAGACUCUCUAAAUAUGGGCAUUUUAUUGGUCUUCCACCCAAUUUUACUAGUCAAAAAGUUGCUGAACUUUUUAUUCUGGAGUUCAUUCGCUUACAUGGUUUUCCUAUCAAGAUCAUUACUGAUCGUGAUCCUAUCUUUUUAUCUGAAUUCUGGCAAGAAGUUAACAGAUUGCAGGGUACCCAAUUGGCUAAAAGUUCUGCCUACCACCCUCAAUCCGAUGGCCAAACAGAAGCACUCAACAAAUGUUUAGAGAUGUACCUCCGUUGCUUCACUGCUAAUACUCCUGCCGCUUGGUUCAAACUUCUUCCCUGGGCAGAGUUCUGGUACAAUACUUCAUUUCAGACAAGUUCUAAACUCACUCCAUUUGAAGUUGUUUACGGCAGACCUCCUCCAACGAUUUCAAGGUUCCUUGUUGAUAGUUCCUCCAACCAUACUGUGAUUGAAACCUUUAAGCAACGAGAUGAAACAUUAGCUAUUUUGAAAGCUAAUCUAAAACAAGCUCAGGAUCGAAUGAAAGCUUUAGCUGACAAAGGAAGACGCGAUAUUGUUUUUAAUGUGGGUGACUGGGUUUAUGUUCGCCUCAGACCUUAUCGACAGCUUUCCAUGCGUUUACAACGCUACAACAAACUAAGUCGUCGAUAUUUUGGUCGCUUCCAGAUCACUCAAAGAAUUGGAGAGGUUGCCUACAAAUUGGACUUGCCUGCCUCUUCGAGAAUUCACCCUGUCUUCCAUGUCUCAGUUUUGCGCAAAUGUAUCGGCAAACCUGCUCAACAGAUAACCCCAAUUGAUCUUUUGGAUCAAUCUACUUCCCUGUUGCUCCAGCCUGAAUAUGUCUUGCAACAUCGCCCACUAUCUUUAGGGGUGGCCAUCAAAUUGACCAAUGCUUAGUUCAAUGGACUGGAUUGCCUAAAUCAGAUGCUACCUGGGAAGAUAAGUUGAUUCUACUUCAAAAGUUCCCUAACUUGAACCUUGAGGACAUGGUUCGUCUCCAUGGGGAUGGCAAUGUUAUGAACCCACAGGAGAUACUAGAGGGUACUAGACGCAGUGCACGUGCCAUACACCCUCCCAAAUAUUUGGAGAAUUUCGUGGUCCCCAAUCUAAAGAAAUGACAAGGUCUGCAAAAUCUGUUAGAGAUAGUGGAGGACUCGCAAGUUACCAUCUGAUGCAACUUAUGCUUCUAUAAAUAUCCAGCAAGGCUAGAAUGAUAGGAUUAUGUAUGAACUUGAGUAUUUUCUUUUUUGGCUAGUUUUGUCUGGAACCCUUCCCCAUUUCUUUACUGUUUCAUUGCCAUUUUUCAGUGUAUUUUCCUAGUCCAGUUCUUAGAUCCUUCACGGUAAUUGUAUUUUGAGUGCAAUCAACACAAGUUCAUACCAGUGUCCUUUUUAUCAAGUCUAGGAUUUGACAGAACAAGUUUCUUGGCUGGCCAAUCUAUAUGGUAUUGGGCAUUUCCGCUAAAAGUUCUAUUGUUGAUUUAGCCCGGAAAAUGGCGAGAAUGAGGCAACAGAGAGUAUGGGAUUUCUUUCAAGGGUGGUCGCCCCUCUCUGCUUUGUCUAUGAUUCUCCCCCUCUUCAACAAACCAACAGCUCCUAAGAGAAAGAAAGAGAAACAUAGCACUUCAGUUACUGGUUUGCUGGAUGAUUAUAUGUGAAAUUCCCCGACAUACAAGUAUACUAUGACAAUUACACGGCCUUCAGAUCUUCAGUCUUUCUGCUCAUGGCCCUUUGCGUUUUCUUCUAGUUUGCUCUCAGUGUCUCAUUGUUUGUGGAGACUUGAAGAUGUUCCAUUAUGUAGCCUCAGCAAAAAGCUACACAACAAAAAAUAUGGAGAAGAAACUAUAAUGAGGCGAUAAAAAAGACCUCAAUUGCCCCUUAAGUUCAGCGGUAGGUCUAUAAUGGGGCCGCGAUGAAUGAUUUUUCCUAGUUUGAUGGAAUCAAGAGUUAAUAGGCCGUAUCUUGGCGGGGCAGCCUGGUAACGGGAUUUGCAGUCACGGCGGUGCUUGAAAUGGAAUACAGAUCUGAGCCUCAAUAUACUUAUAAAAAAAAACUUUUUUCCUGGUUCAAGAAUAUGAUUUAGCCUUCGGCCUUCAGGUUACAAAUUAGAAGAAAAAGAAUUCUUCACCCCUAACGUUUCACCAAGCCUGUUGUUGAAGUUCCUGCAUGGCUGUGUUUUCAACACAUCGAAACCUUGAUAGCAAUGGAUAUUGCAUCAGUCUGGAACAUGGGAAAAUUUGUUUCAACUUCUGGGAAUCGAACUCGGGUCUCUUGAGUGAGAUCCAGAUAUCCUAGCUGACUAGACUACAACCGGAAAAGGAGCACAUAAUAAUUACAGAAUUGAAAGAGGCUGUGAUGAUAAUUAAUGUACACAAGGAAAUGGGGAUUGAGUUAAAGAGGCUCGCCUCUUGGCGAGGUAAGCCGAUUUUGAAGGUGCCUUGAGGCCUCGAUGCAAGCUUGGGUUGCAGUCAUGGCGAUUCUGCUCAUGACCUCGUGCUAGAGUACAUAUCUGAGCCUUCUUCUUAUUUUAGAUUGUGUUGACCUUCUUGGCUCUCAGGGUACAGUGGUAAAUUAAGCCUUGAAACAUCCGAUCAAACAGAUUCUGUUUAAAUUAAGCUGGAAAUGUGUUUUACUCUUGAAAAAGUAUGCUUUAUAGUAUGCCUUAUCUAUGAAGGACUAAACUGGCUUGAAGUUGACUAACAGGCUAGUCGAAGCUGGAAGUUCUCUGUGGCGCCACAGAAGUGAUGAACGUAUCAAUUAGACAACUUUGAGUUGCGUUCUUAUUGUUCGGGCAAUGUUAUUCCCCUUAAUUGUGAUAGUAUUCUAUGUAGGUAUUGCUUAAAAAAAUUAUAGAGUACUUGUUAGAACUAUCGUUUUACCUGCUCUUCUAUUUUGUUAAAUUGAGAUCUAUGCACAGGCUGUAGUAUGUCCUUUUAAUCAGGUCUUGGAUUUAACUGUACAAGUUUCUUGGCUGGCCAAUCUGUAUGAUACUGUAUUUGCAGCCAUAGCAUUGUCUCUGUCUUUCUUUGCCUGAUCAUAUGGGGGAUCUAAGCCUUACCCACUUGAAAUCACUUGCUCUGUUUGUCUGUACGUUCAGCUUUUCUGCUUUUAUGAAAGAGAUCAUGAGGACAAAAGACUGUAGUAUACUGAUCAAUAUGGUAGCGCUUAGCCAUGCCCAAUUGCCGAUACUUGUUCCAAAAGUCAGGCACAACCGCACAACAGAAGAACUUGUCUUCGAAAUUUCUUAUGACUUGCAGCUAGGUCAUAUCAGAGGAAUAAAAAGAGGUUUACUUGACUGGCUCUCUUUAUUUGAGAAGCUUUGCUGUGUUUUCUCUUAAAUAUCUCUUUUUGAAAUGGAUGUACCAAUAGGGAGCCUAAGAAAGGGGUUUGAACCCUCCAAUUCGUUACGCAAUCGACCAUAGAUCAAUUCCCUCUUUGUUUAAACAACAUUGGUGCACGGACCAAUUUAUGCACACCUUGGCUAAUCUACUGGAUACUUGUUACCUUACACCAUGCAUGUAAUGUUGCCCAUCAAUGUUUAGAUAGAUAAGAAAAAACCACCUAGUUAUUUGUCUUUGUUGCGAUUUGAAUCCUGAUUUUUCAUACUUUUCCAGCUUCAUUUGGCCGCUAUAACACACCCUUCUUUGCAUGUCUAUGUUUUGGAUGCUUUGCACCCUUUGAGGCCAUGUUUCUAUAUGCUGUGCAAUAACUUGCGUAGCAUUCGAUCUGAUAAAUAAAAGUUUUGUCAGGGUAGAGGGAGCGCGGUUAUGGAUUCGAUGACCUGCAUGAGCAGAUAUAGUCAACUUGGUCUCUAGUUCACAACUGUUUGUUGAAUCGGAGCAGGAGUAAUGCGUCAUCAGAGGUCUUAUUGUCAUAUGGUUUUUGCUUCUCUGCUGAGCAAACAAAAUCAAUAGCCCAUCCAAUGGUAAUUUUAAUUUUUAAUCCCCUAUUGUGGAUUGAAUUAACUGUGUACUGGUAGGUCCAUUACUAUGAUGUAUCUGCUGUGUUUAUGCAGACCUCCUCUUGAAGGUUGCACUCCUCGUAAGCCCAUUCCACAAUUCUCUAAAUCGACCCCCCUAUAGCUAGACUUGUGAUAUCUUGUUGAGCAUUUUCCCUUGAAUUCUAGUAAAGCUUGGCAUUUGCGGUUAUGGUAUCGGAAGUUCCUUUAAGCAGUGUUCAGGCAUAACAUAUACAACAACCAAAUUUGUACGGGAAAAAGCAAAUGGAGGUUGCAGUACCGGAUUUAUCUUGUGCUCUUAUAUUUGGGAUUUGUUGCAAGUCUUCUACUAGAUUAAAUUCCCAUGCUCCAGGUGGUUCAAACUUAAUAUUCUGAUUAUUCAAGGAUCAUUUUAAUUACCUGUUUUUCCAUAUCCCUAAAUAAGUGUUCAAAAAUGUGUUUUGGGAUAUUUAUAUCGAAGUAUGUGUUGAAGAUUCAAGGGGAUGCUUUUUGUGGUGUUUUUCCAUGGGUUUCAAGUAGCUUGACAACAGGGAAUUUGACAAGAUUGGUGGCCCUUUCUCUGCUAUGUUUAUUUCCUUUUCUGAGCAGAAGAAACCAACAGGCCUUCUUUUGGCUGUAGGCUGUGAUGAUCUCUAAUCUUCAAUUCGCCAAAACCCCGUAGAAGGCUGUGAUCAUCUUUCUUUUCUUGUUUUCAAUUUCUCCAAGCUGACUUGUUUGGACUGAGGUGUAGUUGUAUAUUCUGAGAAAGUUCUUAGGGACAAUAGCAAAAUCUUAUUUGCUUACUGGCGAUUGAACGCAAUGACGUGCUGAAGUUGUUUGGCAUGCCUAAGUUAUUUUUUUUAAUCUCGUUUCAUAGUUUUAGCUGAUUUGGGUGGCUUAUAUGGGUUCUAUAUAUCUCCGCGCAUACACUCGUACAAUUUUCACUUCGAUGUUAGUUGGCUCAUUUCUGCCAUUAAUUAUAAAGAAAAUUUUAUGCUGU
rnacentral:lncRNA from 1 species